rnacentral:rRNA from 1 species
AAUGAACGCUGGCGGCAGGCCUAACACAUGCAAGUCGAGCGAGCAUUUCGGUGCUAGCGGCGGACGGGUGAGUAACGCGUGGGAACGUGCCCUUUUCUGCGGAAUAGUCCUGGGAAACUGGGGGUAAUACCGCAUACGCCCUUUUGGGGAAAGAUUUAUCGGAGAAGGAUCGGCCCGCGUUGGAUUAGGUAGUUGGUGGGGUAAUGGCCCACCAAGCCGACGAUCCAUAGCUGGUUUGAGAGGAUGAUCAGCCACACUGGGACUGAGACACGGCCCAGACUCCUACGGGAGGCAGCAGUGGGGAAUCUUAGACAAUGGGGGCAACCCUGAUCUAGCCAUGCCGCGUGAGAGAUGAAGGCCUUAGGGUUGUAAAGCUCUUUCAGCUGGGAAGAUAAUGACGGUACCAGCAGAAGAAGCCCCGGCUAACUCCGUG